GUUGCCUUUUUCCAGAAAUUUCUUGGAGGCGAGGUGGCCUAGGCGGAGGCGGAGACCCCGCCAGAUGCAGCUCUCGGCGAUUUUUUUUGCUGCCGGCCGGUGGGUUUCUCGCUGCCCACUUCCUCGCCGAUUUUUCCCCUUCAGCUGCUCGUGUUCCUCGCUGUCGCAGCGAUCUUCUCUGCCUCACGCUCUCUACUCAAAAUUUCAUGUGAUUUUUUCACUUUUUGGUGCGUUCAUGUGAUAUUUUGUGUUCAGAUCCUGCAUCAUGUUUGCCCUAUAAAUCCUUUGUAUGUUUGGUUGGUGUUCUUCUCCUAGAUUUCUAGGGGAAACGAUUCGUUGAUUUUCGCACGCAUGUAUUGUUGUUCAUCUUGAGGAUGGAGGCGUCAAUGUUUUUC
rnacentral:sRNA from 1 species